CGCGCCCGCGUGCAGGAGGUUUUCCCCAAUCCGCACCCCGCGUUCCCCGCCAAUCCAUCACCCGCACCAGCCACCGCCCAAACCCUAGCCCCCUUUCCCCUCGAUCCCCACAACCUCUCCCGCCUCUAUCCCUCCUCCUCGCGUCACCACGGCCUCCGCCCCGGAGCCUCGCCGCCGCCUGAUAAUACUCCUCCACCAUGCUAGCCCCUCCACCUCACCUUCCUUCUUUUUGUUAUCUGCGCCCGUCAUCGAUGCCUGGUUCUAGAUCGGGCGCGGGUUAGACGAGGUCGAUGGUGGGGUGAAUGGGCAGGGGAGGCGGGGGACGAGGGCAGGCAACAGUCGGCCCGUCGCGAUGUGGUGAAGCUACAGGGAAGAGGGAGGAGGUCGGCGACAGGGUGAAGGAGCAAGCCGGCCCUCAUGGAGGCAGCGCUACCAGCCAGCUAGGGACGGUCCGGCUCGCCUCUGCUAUGCCGUGAGCGGCGGCGCUACCUCUGCCUCCAGCCUCACCUCCUCUGCCAACCAUGGGAAAAAUUUGGGGAGACCCAAGGUGAGCUUCCCCUCCGUUGCAUGACCCAAGGUGAGCUUCCCCUCUGUUGCAUGCACUCCUGAUCUCUAAAGAUUUCUGUAGCCUAAAUGCCUAUGUACCAUGUAAGCAAGCCCAACGUAAUGCACACCAUCAGCCUGAUGAAUGACCAAAUGGUUUGUUUUUGUUGCCAUAUAGACCAUUGACGGGUGUGCAGGAGCCCUUCUAAUUGGUACUCUAUGUGUGUUUUCUUUUCUUUUGUUGCAGAAUAAUAAUUCAAGUGGAUGGCCAAUGCGCCUUGUUGUUUAGCGGUAUGAUGGUCGGUGAAAGUAUGUUCUAUAUAUAUUGCAAGGAUCAUAAGAUGCUUUUACACAUGAUUGUGUGAUGCUCAGAGACAUUUUGCACAGUAGAAACUUCUUGUGAAGCUUGAUUUUAUUCAGAGCCAUAUGAUUUUUUUAUAGAAACAUGAGCAGAGUAAAAUGGACACAGCUUCUGGUACAUCUGAGGACAGUGUGAUUUAUUUUCAUAGAAUGUUGUCAUCUAUAUCUUGCUGAAGUACAGAACUAUUGCACCGACGACCACAAUGGGAUGGAUCAAGCAGCCAAGACUCAGAGUGUGGUCGACAGUGCGACUCUUCCAGCACUGAAGUUAUGUCUUUUGGGCCAAUUUCAAUUGCCUCACUACCUCUACACAUGGAUCCUGUAGGUAUUUCCUAAUGUAAGUGUCACUGUUUUUCUUCUUUAUGUACCUGGACGGGAGUGCUCAUGAGGAUGACGACAUGCUACUGAACUCAAAUUCAAAAAUGAAGUUGGGGGCCUGGGGUUUGGAGCCCCUCAGUAGAAGUGCUCAGGCGGCAUGUCACAGUUGUUUGCUGAUAAUUUACCAAGAACAAAUUUUGCUUGUCUCUAGCAUUAGGCUAUGAGCCCUAAAGCAGUUCCAGUGUGAUGAUCUACCUCUUGACUAGGAAGGGGGGAUUGAAAGAUAGCACUUGUCGUUUGAAGCAAUUAGUAUUGGACUAUUUGAGGAAGUAAAUGUUUAAACCACUAAACCUUAUAUUCUUUUGUAAAAAGGAGGGUGCAGAUAAAUAAGAGUUGUUGGCAGCAGCAACCUACACAUGUGGAAACAGUGGCUAUGGCGGCUCAAAGGGAAGUUGUGGCCGCUAGACAGCAACUCACAACUUAGUGGCAGCUCAAAGUACAUAUAAUCUAUUUCUUCUUGGAGCUAUCUACUAUAAUAUUAUGACUCGGUGCUAGCUGAAGCUUCUAUUUUCUCGCCUUUUGUGGUGGCGGUGAUUCCUUCAACUGCAGUAGUUUUUCUACGUGCCAUUGUAAGUAUAGGUUUUCUACAGUUAAGCCUCUCGCAUUGCAAAAAGCUACAUUCCCUUGUUUUUCUAUGUGCCAUUGUAAGUGUAGGUUUUCUACCGGCUUCAACAUAGAUAAUUAGCAUGCGAGAGGCUUAACUGUAGCUUUUUGCGAUGCUAGACGGACAUAUUCAGUACUGAAAAUCUAGACUGUUCUUUCCACUCUGUAACAACUUCUAUGCUUGCGCCACCAUGAUAUCAGUACAACAUUUCCCUAUAAAAUUUUGUUAGUUGCAUGUAAACUGAAUUGAUUUACCAGUAAAAAUCUGGACAACUGAUUCCAGUCGAUAAUAACCAUUGUGGCAUUACCAUGAUAUGUCAUGUAUCUGCUCUGAGUUGUAGUAUGUUGCAAAAAGUACAAUAAGAGAUAGAAUGUAUGCACUAUGGCUAGCAGUAACUUUUUUUGACUUGUACAACAUUUGAUCUAUCUAUUUUUGCAGGCUAUUCCUCUUGUUGCAACCUUUUCCCAUAGAAUCAAAAGGAAUUAGAUUGAAGAAAUUGCAGGAGAGCAGGAAGGGUAUUCCUGGUGUGACAUUCAAAAGCAGUCAAAACGGUGAGGUUUAGAACGGAGGAGCUCCGUGGAAUUGUGGAUAAAAAAUUAUCCAUAACAUGUCUGUCAUUGCUCAUGUCGACCACGGUAUGUGACCGAGCAGUGACAGUUGUCUCUAAUUAUCAAUCUUAUAUAGAGUCUUCUUGAUUGAUGAUUUUGUAGCCUUCUCUUAGCUGUACCAUAUUAAUUCUUAAAAUUGGAUCAUUUAAAAUUAGUUAGAUUUAAUGAUUUGUUCCACUGUUUUCAAAUAAGUAGUUUAAGCCCUUAUUGUGUUCUGGAGCUUAUUCUUUCUACCUUUUUAUGAUUGAUUUAUGCUCUCACAAGCUUAAAUGUAACUAUUGACAUAUAAUCUCAUGGCUCAAAGUCUUAGUUGUUGAAUGUAUUAAAAUUUAUAAGACCUGGAGUUUGCACUAUAAUUUCAUCCAGCGGUAUUCCCAGUAACUGAAUGUUAAGAGCACUGACGAUCCCAGGUUGUACAUUUAGGUACUGGGAAAUGCUUUUAUCUUGCAGGCCAGUUUUACAUUUAUUUUUCAGUAACGAGAUGACCAUGAACAGGGUAUCAAGGUAUUUGCCUUGGCAUUACUAACGUCGUGUUCAGAUUACUAAAAGAAGGAUUGAUAACGGCAUACCUUAACUCGACUGAUGCUUUAACUGCUGCCUCUCUAAGCCUUGAUUAGCCAUGGAGAUACUCAAGUUCCAAAGCCCCAAGUGAGGCUAUCCUUCUAAGAUCCGUUCAUCCCAGUUCAUUAAUUUGUUUGAAAUAUAUAUGUAUAUUCCAAUAUUGCUCAAUCUCCAGCUGGCCUCUAGGUUAUCAGAUGAAAUCCGGUUAAAUUUUAGGGAGGUUGACUAGGAGUGUUUGGAACUAAAGGCUUUGUUGUUGUUGUUUGAGUAGGAGUAUCCCCCUUUUCUGUAUAAAUUUUGUUGCUAUGAAUAGUUGCAUUGUUACGUCAGUGAAAAGUUCCUGGGCAUAGUAUGUGUUCCUCUAGACUUGGUUGAAAGUAUUCCUUCUGUUAUCCAGUUUCUCACUACGCAUGUUACCUUUGUUGCUGAAUUUUGCCUAUAGUUUAUAUAUAGUAGACUCACAUGAUUACCUGACGACUCAUUCACGCAAGAACUAUUGUUAAUUUUUUCCUUUUCUGCAAUGAUGGUCGUAGCCCUUUGACUCUACAAGCCGCAAAGGAGUGAAGUGUAGAAAAUAUGUCCAUUGUCGUUGAAUUGGUGGGAUUGUCACCAAGUUAGUGCUGCAGAUUUCUAUUUUAGAGCAAGAAGCCAAAUCAUGUAGUUCAUUGUAAAUCUUGAAAAACUUAUUUAUUGUCACUUCUAUAUCUGUUAUAAACUUUUUUUUUGUGAUGUGCUACUUGUCAAUCUUGGUUUGACCUUCCAUUUCAAGUCUGCCCUUAAAUUCCAGUAGACCAAAAAGUCCUUGUUUUUUCAAUUGGUUUCUCGUUUCAUGUUUGCACUUCUAUUACAGUACAACAUUUCAUAAACAUGGCAUUGGUCAUUGUUUGUCCAGUUCCCUUCAAAAAAAGAAGAGAUGGCUAUAGAGAGUUCAUCCUUCUAACAUAACAGAGCAGAGGAGUGGGAACUAUAAACAUGCCUCAGUGAAGAGAUAAAAAAUGUUGUGCAAGGCAUUGGUUGUUAAGCUCCUUUAAAAAAUGAAGGAAUUAUAGUGCAUCUGACCUAUAAAGGGGUUGUGA